UACGUAGGGUGCGAGCGUUGUCCGGAAUUAUUGGGCGUAAAGAGCUCGUAGGCGGUCUGUCGCGUCGGAUGUGAAAACUCGGGGCUCAACCCCGAGCCUGCAUUCGAUACGGGCAGACUAGAGUUCGGUAGGGGAGACUGGAAUUCCUGGUGUAGCGGUGAAAUGCGCAGAUAUCAGGAAGAACACCAGUGGCGAAAGGCGGCUCU
rnacentral:rRNA from 1 species